GAGCUUGCUCCCAGGCGUCGAGCGGCGGACGGGUGAGUAACACUUAGGAAUCUACCUAGUAGUGGGGGAUAGCUCGGGGAAACUCGAAUUAAUACCGCAUACGACCUACGGGAGAAAGGGGGCAGUUUACUGCUCUCGCUAUUAGAUGAGCCUAAGUCGGAUUAGCUAGAUGGUGGGGUAAAGGCCUACCAUGGCGACGAUCUGUAGCUGGUCUGAGAGGAUGAUCAGCCACACCGGGACUGAGACACGGCCCGGACUCCUACGGGAGGCAGCAGUGGGGAAUAUUGGACAAUGGGGGCAACCCUGAUCCAGCCAUGCCGCGUGUGUGAAGAAGGCCUUUUGGUUGUAAAGCACUUUAAGCAGUGAAGAAGACCAUAUGGUUAAUACCCAUAUGCGAUGACAUUAGCUGCAGAAUAAGCACCGGCUAACUCUGUGCCAGCAGCCGCGGUAAUACAGAGGGUGCAAGCGUUAAUCGGAAUUACUGGGCGUAAAGCGAGCGUAGGUGGCUUGAUAAGUCAGAUGUGAAAUCCCCGGGCUUAACCUGGGAACUGCAUCUGAUACUGUUAAGCUAGAGUAGGUGAGAGGGAAGUAGAAUUCCAGGUGUAGCGGUGAAAUGCGUAGAGAUCUGGAGGAAUACCGAUGGCGAAGGCAGCUUCCUGGCAUCAUACUGACACUGAGGCUCGAAAGCGUGGGUAGCAAACAGGAUUAGAUACCCUGGUAGUCCACGCCGUAAACGAUGUCUACUAGUCGUUGGGUCCCUUGAGGACUUAGUGACGCAGCUAACGCAAUAAGUAGACCGCCUGGGGAGUACGGCCGCA
rnacentral:rRNA from 1 species